AAGGCUACUGGAGCUAGGCUUUGCUGGAGAAUGUAUGGAGCUAUGAUCAGGUCAAUAGUAGUGCUUUAUCUCUUUUCUGCUUUUUGUUUUGAUUUUGUUCAAUGCAACUUCAAAAUCAAAUGAAAGAAUGGAAGGGUAGGCUGAGUGGAGAACAGAAGCAUAUGCGUUCAGCGGAAGAGGUGAAGAAAGGGCAUAUUGAAGAGACUGUGAGCAGAAAGGAAAGAAAAUUCUCUGCUUAAAUACCAUGGUAAUUGUGAGUCAAGAAAUGCCUUCGGGUGGAUUUUCCCAAAGGACUCAGCAUGAUGUCAAUGGGAACAGUGCUUUAGAAAACCUCAGCUUGAACAAAUAUAGAAAAGGACAACAAUCAUUGGAAUUCGGUUAUCUAAAGCCACUAUGGCCAACUUCUGCAGCCAGUGAGGACUGCACGCAUUGAACAGCUGGCCAGGAGGGCCAGAAGGACCAGACUUACCAACAGAAAGUCUGAUGAAAGCCAUGCUGUGGUCUGUACCCAACCCUUCAGUGCCAGCAGCAGAACUAAGACCUGUGAUAGGCAGCAAAUGUUACAGACCCUUCAAAGUAGCUCUGAAUAUGUCUGAGGACUUCUCCUAGCACAGGCACUUUGUCCAUGCUUUCUAACAAAUGUAAUGUCUUAGAAUUGAUUCUGAUGUUUUAUUCUUUAAAGAAGG
rnacentral:lncRNA from 1 species